GGCCACGUAGCCCAACGGCAGAGGCAGUGGACUUAAAAUCCAUACAGUCUGGGUUCGAGUCCCAGCGUGGCUA
rnacentral:tRNA from 1 species